UACGGGGGGGGUAAGCGUUACUCGGAAUUACUGGGCGUAAAGCGUGCGCAGGCGGCUUUGCAAGACAGAUGUGAAAUCCCCGGGCUCAACCUGGGAACUGCAUUUGUGACUGCAAGGCUAGAGUACGGUAGAGGGGGAUGGAAUUCCGCGUGUAGCAGUGAAAUGCGUAGAUAUGCGGAGGAACACCGAUGGCGAAGGCAAUCCCCUGGACCUGUACUGACGCUCAUGCACGAAAGCGUGGGGAGCAAACAGG
rnacentral:rRNA from 1 species